GAAAUUGCUAAAAUUACGGAGGCUGGUCUAUUUUUGUAAUUUUCUGUUAAGAUUUCUACACAUGGAUCAAGACUCUGGUGUUGGAGUUUGAAACAUUAGUAAACGAGGAAUGUGGGCGUUGCCGGCUAGGCCAGUAUGUGUUGCCCAUCCCUAACUGCCCUUGAGAAGGUGCCUUAUUAAACCAUUACUGAUGAUAUAUUAUAUAUCGUCAGAGGAAAUUGAGAUGGAAGCUCUGGAUUUCCCCCUCCCACCUCACCAGGGAAGGCGGUGAUGAGCUGCAUUCAUUUGACCCACUGCAGUCCGUGUGACGUACGGAUACUCAGAGUAUGGCAGCCGGAAUUUUGACCCAGCAACGAUGAAGAAACAGCAAUGCGUUUCCAAAUUCACGUAGUGUGUAACCUGGAGAUGACUGUGUUCCCUCACAUCUCCUGCCUUUGAUCUUCUAGAUAGUAAAAGUUACAAAUUAGUACUCCUUUCUGAGCUAAAGCCAGUUGUGCCAAUCCGGCCUACACCAAUGGACACUUUAUUCUGGGGAUUCCUGCUUUGCUUUUCUCCAUGCUUAUAUCAAUGAACAAUCGGAAGACUUCAGAACUUAAAUUUAACUUUACAGAAGUCACACAAUUUCUGAAAGGAACAACACCCACCAUUCGUAUAGUUCCCUUAAUGUAGUAGAUCAAAGGAACAACCAUCAAACAAAAUUUGACAGUGAGACACGUAAGAAAUAUUAGGCAAGAUGACCAAAAGCUUGGUCAAAGAAGUAGGUUUUAAGUAGUGCAACAAGAGCUGACCAAUAGCUGUGAGCUUCAUUUCACUUAAUGAGGAUGGUAUAAAGUUAAUAAACUAGGGUCAUGUGGUACAGUGGUAGUGUCCCUGCCUGUGAGGUAGGAAGUCCAGGUUCCUGUACCAGGAGUGUGCAAUAAUAUCUCUGAACAGGUUGUUUUGAAAAUAUCUAAAGUAAAUUAAUUGCAACAUAUCUGAAACAUGUUGCUUAGUGCGGAUGAAUAGCCUCUGCACUUUCCAUCACCCUAUCUUGAGUAACUGAUGCGUGGUUAAAGAAGUUGCUUAAUGUGACCCAGUUAGAUGCUUUGGCCAGGAGUUUCCGUGACAAGUUGUCUUUUGUUGCUUGAGGCUUUAAGUUUGCUCAAUGCAGUGUUAUUCUCAGAAACCUUCACAUGAAACAGAUGGGGCAGCUGUCAAGUCUUUAUUUUAGGGCAAGGCUGGGAGAUAUGUAAGUGAAAUCAAAUUAUAACACAAACCUUCACUUAUUCUCUUGCAAGGAAUAGCAGAUCAGUAUUUAUUACAGGGCACAGAAACUUCUGAAUCUAUAUAGUAAAAGCAAAGUUGAUAAAGUUGCCAUCGUCCCAUAGGAUCAUAGGCUGCUCUCUCCUUAGCAAGAGACAAAUGAUGGUGGUUUAACCUAAGGGUCAUUAUGCUUCAGGUGAGGGAUGAGGUUGAGAAGGCAGGACCUAUAUGGUUAUCAUCGUUAUAGGCUGUGCAACCCAAAACCUGACCACUCGAUUGGUAAGACUUGAUGGAGGUGUAUAAAAUCAGGGAUGAUUUACAUAGAAUAGAUAAAAGGAAAUGUACCCACUGGCUGAAGGGUCGACAAGGGCCAUAGGUGACUGGCAAAAUAAACAGUAGUGACAGGAGGGAAAAUAUUUUUAAUCAAUGAGUCGUAAGGAUUUGGAAUGCACUUCCUGAUAAGGUUCAAUCACAACCUUUAACAGAAAAUUGGAUAAAUAUUUGAAAAGCCAACACGGACUUAAUGAGUCGAAUGGCCUCCUUCUGUGCUACACUAUUCUAAUUAUGCUUUCCACCUUAUCUGGCUAACAAAGUUUCCGUAGGACACCAAAUCCGAUUUGUACAUGAUGUGCUUGUAUCUAUAGCCCCUACAGUUCUGGAAUCCCCCUUUCUCCCAUGGUAGCAAACAACCUCUUGAAGCCAACCCAAUCAGAACCUUUGAGGAUCUCCAAUGGGUGAUACUCAGUCUUCACUUUUCUGGAUAAAAGCAAUCCCAUUCAGUUUAUCCUCAUGGGAAUAACCUAAUUGUGCACCUGAGUACAUAUUGUUUGCAACCCUUGUCAUGCAUGUCUAUCAUUUUUUAAAUAGGAAUUACAAGUACUCCACUUGUGAUCCAAUUAAUAUCUUACAAGAAUGAGAAGCCUUAUGGUAGUCCUUCUUUAUAUGAUUGCAAUUUGUUGGCCUUGUCAGUACAAUAGGACAGUGCAUUCCAAGAUCUUUUCCUAGUGUGACCCCUGCAUCAAGACUGGGUGCGAGGCCAGAGUGAACACUUGGAGUUUUGAGAGAGGGUUGGUUGAGGAGUCAGAUGGAGGUUUCAGCUGUUGGAUGGAGGGGCUUCAUUUGUUGACAAGUAGGGGGAAAAAAGAGGAGUUGAGUAUGUUGGGGAGGGGUGGGGGACUGGGUACAAGGUGUUGAAAAAGCAGAUUUUCUACACUCAGAAAGAGCCACUACCCAUUUAUGAGCUUGUUUCUGCACUAGCCAUGGGACGUCAGGAGAAGUCCAUUAGGCCACAUCCACCAACUAAACAAAGAGGAUUGAAAGGGGGUUUGCAGCUGCAAGGAGUUAGUCCUCAGUCCAUGGCUGCCAUUGCUUAGGGUUCUUCGGGUGCAGUGGUACUGUCCCCAUCUCUGAUCCAAGAAGCCUGGGUUCAAGGCCCAGCUACUGCAGAGGUGUGUAAUAACAUGGCUGAACAGGUUGUUCAAGAAACUAUCUAACUGCCAUUGAUAUCCAUGACUCUUGUUACCCAAAUGGGGUUUGCGAGUCACAAUUUGGGAACAGGAGGGCUAUGGUUAGUAACUGUGGCCAGGCAUAAUCCAGAAGGUUUAAGUACACAGCUGCAUACUCAUAACACUGCACUCCCAUCAUAGAACCUUUCUUUCCUAUCUGUAAGUCAACUAAUGAAUGGAAGUGCUGAAAAAUAAACACAGGAAUUUAAACACAGAUGAUUGGCACGGUGGUUAGCACUGCUACCUCACAGCACAGGGACCCAGGUUCGAUCCCUGUCUC